rnacentral:rRNA from 1 species
UAGGGAAUAUUGCUCAAUGGGCGAAAGCCUGAAGCAGCAACGCCGCGUGGAGGAUGACACUUUUUCGGAGCGUAAACUCCUUUUCUUGGGGAAGAACAAUGACGGUACCUAAGGAAUAAGCACCGGCUAACUCCGUGCCAGCAGCCGCGGUAAUACGGAGGGUGCAAGCGUUACUCGGAAUCACUGGGCGUAAAGGACGCGUAGGCGGAUUAUCAAGUCUUUUGUGAAAUCUAAUGGCUUAACCAUUAAACUGCUUGAGAAACUGAUAAUCUAGAGUGAGGGAGAGGCAGAUGGAAUUGGUGGUGUAGGGGUAAAAUCCGUAGAGAUCACCAAGAAUACCCAUUGCGAAGGCGAUCUGCUAGAACUCAACUGACG